AUUGAACGCUGGCGGCAGGCCUAACACAUGCAAGUCGAACGAGUGGCGGACGGGUGAGUAAUGUCUGGGAAACUGCCUGAUGGAGGGGGAUAACUACUGGAAACGGUCGCUAAUACCGCAUACCAUCAGCUGUGCCCAGAUGGGAUUAGCUAGUUGGUUGGGUAACGGCUCAACAAGGCGACGAUCCCUCGCUGGUCUUAGAGGAUGACCAGCCAUCCUGGAACAGAGACACGGUCCAGAGUCCUACGGGAGGCAGCAGUGGGGAAUAUUGCACAAUGGGCGCAGGCCGUAUGCAGCCAUGCCGCGUGUAUGAAGAAGUCUUUCGGGUUGUAAAGUACUUUCAGCGGGGAGGCGGUACCCGAAGAAGAAGCACCGGCUAACUCCGUGCCAGCAGCCGCGGUAAUAC
rnacentral:rRNA from 1 species